AACUUUGAAGAGAGAGUUCAAGAGUACGUGANACCGUUCAGGGGUAAACCUAANAAACCCNNAAGAUCGAACGGGGAGAUUCAUCGUCAGCGUCGCUGGCUUCGCGUCGGUGGGCGAUGUCCCGCGGUUUCUCGCGCGGGCACGCUACCGUGCGCGCAUGUCCGGCGUCGUCGUCGUGCACUUCUCCCCUAGUAGAACGUCGCGACCCGCUGGGUGUCGGUCUACGGCCCGGGGUGGUGUCUGUCGCGUCGUCGGUAAAACGGCACGCGGCAAACCCUCGGACGCCCGGCCGGCUGCCCGGCGGUACUCGCACGGUAUCAGGCCGCAGUCUGACUGCGUCAAGCCCGUCGCAAGCGCGCGCCACGGUUACUCGGAGGCACGGACCCAGAGCCGUCCCCGGUCCUNGCCCGCUGUUGGCCG
rnacentral:rRNA from 1 species